rfam:Otolemur garnettii contig147641, whole genome shotgun sequence.
CUAGCGACCCCCUUUUUUUCCAGACAGAGGGUUGUGAACCAGCCUGGGGUGAGGCUCUGGUCUUGUGGAAACUGAACUUAGCUAUGCUGGGCUGACACCUUGGGCCCAGGCUGGUAUGUAAU